AUUGAACGCUGGCGGCAGGCUUAACACAUGCAAGUCGAGCGGGGUGAUGGUGCUUGCACUAUCACUUAGCGGCGGACGGGUGAGUAAUGCUUAGGAAUCUGCCUAUUAGUGGGGGUCAACAUCUCGAAAGGGAUGCUAAUACCGCAUACGUCCUACGGGAGAAAGCAGGGGAUCACUUGUGACCUUGCGCUAAUAGAUGAGCCUAAGUCGGAUUAGCUAGUUGGUGGGGUAAAGGCCUACCAAGGCGACGAUCUGUAGCGGGUCUGAGAGGAUGAUCCGCCACACUGGGACUGAGACACGGCCCAGACUCCUACGGGAGGCAGCAAUGGGGAAUAUUGGACAAUGGGGGGAACCCUGAUCCAGCCAUGCCGCGUGUGUGAAGAAGGCCUUAUGGUUGUAAAGCACUUUAAGCGAGGAGGAGGCUCUUUUGGUUAAUACCCAAGAUGAGUGGACGUUACUCGCAGAAUAAGCACCGGCUAACUCUGUGCCAGCCGCCGCAGUAA
rnacentral:rRNA from 1 species